rnacentral:rRNA from 1 species
UACAUGAAGCUGGAAUCGCUAGUAAUCGCGGAUCAGAAUGCCGCGGUGAAUACGUUCCCGGGUCUUGUACACACCGCCCGUCACACCAUGGGAGUCGGAAAUGCCCGAAGUCUGUGACCCAACCGAAAGGAGGGAGCAGCCGAAGGCAGGUCGGAUGACCGGGGUGAAGUCGUAACAAGGUACC